GAGUUUGAUCAUGGCUCAGAUUGAACGCUGGCGGCAGGCCUAACACAUGCAAGUCGAACGGUAACAGGAAGCAGCUUGCUGCUUCGCUGACGAGUGGCGGACGGGUGAGUAAUGUCUGGGAAGCUGCCUGAUGGAGGGGGAUAACUACUGGAAACGGUAGCUAAUACCGCAUAAUGUCGCAAGACCAAAGAGGGGAACCUUCGGGCCUCUUGCCAUCGGAUGUGCCCAGAUGGGAUUAGCUUGUUGGUGGGGUAACGGCUCACCAAGGCGACGAUCCCUAGCUGGUCUGAGAGGAUGACCAGCCACACUGGAACUGAGACACGGUCCAGACUCCUACGGGAGGCAGCAGUGGGGAAUAUUGCACAAUGGGCGCAAGCCUGAUGCAGCCAUGCCGCGUGUAUGAAGAAGGCCUUCGGGUUGUAAAGUACUUUCAGCGGGGAGGAAGGGAGUAAAGUUAAUACCUUUGCUCAUUGACGUUACCCGCAGAAGAAGCACCGGCUAACUCCGUGCCAGCAGCCGCGGUAAUACGGAGGGUGCAAGCGUUAAUCGGAAUUACUGGGCGUAAAGCGCACGCAGGCGGUUUGUUAAGUCAGAUGUGAAAUCCCCGGGCUCAACCUGGGAACUGCAUCUGAUACUGGCAAGCUUGAGUCUCGUAGAGGGGGGUAGAAUUCCAGGUGUAGCGGUGAAAUGCGUAGAGAUCUGGAGGAAUACCGGUGGCGAAGGCGGCCCCCUGGACGAAGACUGACGCUCAGGUGCGAAAGCGUGGGGAGCAAACAGGAUUAGAUACCCUGGUAGUCCACGCCGUAAACGAUGUCGACUUGGAGGUUGUGCCCUUGAGGCGUGGCUUCCGGAGCUAACGCGUUAAGUCGACCGCCUGGGGAGUACGGCCGCAAGGUUAAAACUCAAAUGAAUUGACGGGGGCCCGCACAAGCGGUGGAGCAUGUGGUUUAAUUCGAUGCAACGCGAAGAACCUUACCUGGUCUUGACAUCCACGGAAGUUUUCAGAGAUGAGAAUGUGCCUUCGGGAACCGUGAGACAGGUGCUGCAUGGCUGUCGUCAGCUCGUGUUGUGAAAUGUUGGGUUAAGUCCCGCAACGAGCGCAACCCUUAUCCUUUGUUGCCAGCGGUCCGGCCGGGAACUCAAAGGAGACUGCCAGUGAUAAACUGGAGGAAGGUGGGGAUGACGUCAAGUCAUCAUGGCCCUUACGACCAGGGCUACACACGUGCUACAAUGGCGCAUACAAAGAGAAGCGACCUCGCGAGAGCAAGCGGACCUCAUAAAGUGCGUCGUAGUCCGGAUUGGAGUCUGCAACUCGACUCCGUGAAGUCGGAAUCGCUAGUAAUCGUGGAUCAGAAUGCCACGGUGAAUACGU
rnacentral:rRNA from 1 species